rnacentral:rRNA from 1 species
GGUUUUCCAGGCAAAUCCGGAAAAUCAAGGCUGAGGCGUGAUGACGAGGCACUACGGUGCUGAAGCGACAAAUGCCCUGCUUCCAGGAAAAGCCUCUAAGCAUCAGGUAACAUCAAAUCGUACCCCAAACCGACACAGGUGGUCAGGUAGAGAAUACCAAGGCGCUUGAGAGAACUCGGGUGAAGGAACUAGGCAAAAUGGUGCCGUAACUUCGGGAGAAGGCACGCUGAUAUGUAGGUGAAGCGACUUGCUCGUGGAGCUGAAAUCAGUCGAAGAUACCAGCUGGCUGCAACUGUUUAUUAAAAACACAGCACUGUGCAAACACGAAAGUGGACGUAUACGGUGUGACGCCUGCCCGGUGCCGGAAGGUUAAUUGAUGGGGUUAGCGGUAACGCGAAGCUCUUGAUCGAAGCCCCGGUAAACGGCGGCCGUAACUAUAACGGUCCUAAGGUAGCGAAAUUCCUUGUCGGGUAAGUUCCGACCUGCACGAAUGGCGUAAUGAUGGCCAGGCUGUCUCCACCCGAGACUCAGUGAAAUUGAACUCGCUGUGAAGAUGCAGUGUACCCGCGGCAAGACGGAAAGACCCCGUGAACCUUUACUAUAGCUUGACACUGAACAUUGAGCCUUGAUGUGUAGGAUAGGUGGGAGGCUUUGAAGUGUGGACGCCAGUCUGCAUGGAGCCGACCUUGAAAUACCACCCUUUAAUGUUUGAUGUUCUAACGUGGGCCCCUUACCGGGGUUGCGGACAGUGUCUGGUGGGUAGUUUGACUGGGGCGGUCUCCUCCUAAAGAGUAACGGAGGAGCACGAAGGUUGGCUAAUCCUGGUCGGACAUCAGGAGGUUAGUGCAAUGGCAUAAGCCAGCUUGACUGCGAGCGUGACGGCGCGAGCAGGUGCGAAAGCAGGUCAUAGUGAUCCGGUGGUUCUGAAUGGAAGGGCCAUCGCUCAACGGAUAAAAGGUACUCCGGGGAUAACAGGCUGAUACCGCCCAAGAGUUCAUAUCGACGGCGGUGUUUGGCACCUCGAUGUCGGCUCAUCACAUCCUGGGGCUGAAGUAGGUCCCAAGGGUAUGGCUGUUCGCCAUUUAAAGUGGUACGCGAGCUGGGUUUAGAACGUCGUGAGACAGUUCGGUCCCUAUCUGCCGUGGGCGCUGGAGAACUGAGGGGGGCUGCUCCUAGUACGAGAGGACCGGAGUGGACGCAUCACUGGUGUUCGGGUUGUCAUGCCAAUGGCACUGCCCGGUAGCUAAAUGCGGAAGAGAUAAGUGCUGAAAGCAUCUAAGCACGAAACUUGCCCCGAGAUGAGUUCUCCCUGACUCCUUGAGAGUCCUGAAGGAACGUUGAAGACGACGACGUUGAUAGGCCGGGUGUGUAAGCGCAGCGAUGCGUUGAGCUAACCGGUACUAAUGAACCGUGAGGCUUAACCUU